rnacentral:rRNA from 1 species
UACGUAGGGUGCAAGCGUUAAUCGGAAUUACUGGGCGUAAAGCGUGCGUAGGCGGCUAUGUAAGUCAGAUGUGAAAUCCCUGGGCUUAACCUAGGAACUGCAUUUGUGACUGCAUUGCUAGAGUGUGGUAGAGGGAGAUGGAAUUCCGCAUGUAGCAGUGAAAUGCGUAGAUAUGCGGAGGAACACCAAUGGCGAAGGCAAUCUCCUGGACCGGCACUGACGCUCAUGCACGAAAGCGUGGGGAGCAAACAGG